GUGCAUAUUACUGAAAUUUAAUUGUUUAGAAUGAAUUUUUAGUGACACAGGGAGAUUCUUAUGAUAAGUGAAAAUUCACUAUGGAAGUAUGUAAAUAAAAUUAUAUUAUGUGUCAGAAGUCUAUAUACAUAUAUGCACAGAAAAGGAAUAGCAAGAAAUUUACCAAUGUCUAAAAGGUUUACCUCUCUACAGCAGAAUUACAAGUGUCUUUUAUUUUUUUCUUUGCAACUUUCUAAGCUAUCUAAGAGUUCUAUAUAUAAUAUUCAUAAUCAGGCAAAAGUAAGAGAGGAGUUGUUUUUGAGUACAUUUGUGAAAAGUGAAUCUUGGAUUUUUUUUUUUUCAUGAUAAAACAGUUCCAUAACGAUGAUAAAUUUUUAAUGUACUAAAAAUGUAAGUUACUAAAUACUGCUGGAUGUUGAAAAAGUCAUGAAUUUUUCUAUAUGUAUUAUAAACUCAAGUUUUAAUUUUGGAAACUUCCCUAGGACCUAUCAUUUUUCAUUCUGUAUUUUGCUAGUAAGUACUCUUUCAUUUUUUAUUUAUAUAGCUAUUAUUUUUCCAAUUUUUAAAUUAAAACAUUCUUAAAAUUAUGUGCACACAUGAACUGGACAGAUUUUGAAACAUUUAGUCUGUUUA
rnacentral:lncRNA from 1 species